rnacentral:rRNA from 1 species
AGAGUUUGAUCAUGGCUCAGGAUGAACGCUGGCGGCGUGCCUAACACAUGCAAGUCGAGCGAUCUCUUCGGAAGAGAGCGGCGGACGGGUGAGUAACGCGUGGGUAACCUGCCUCAUACACAUGGAUAACAUACCGAAAGGUAUGCUAAUACAAGAUGAUAUAAGAGAUUCGCAUGGAUUUCUUAUCAAAGCUCCGGCGGUAUGAGAUGGACCCGCGUCUGAUUAGCUAGUUGGUAAGGCAACGGCUUACCAAGGCGACGAUCAGUAGCCGACCUGAGAGGGUGAUCGGCCACAUUGGAACUGAGACACGGUCCAAACUCCUACGGGAGGCAGCAGUGGGGAAUAUUGCACAAUGGGCGAAAGCCUGAUGCAGCAACGCCGCGUGAGCGAUGAAGGCCUUCGGGUCGUAAAGCUCUGUCCUCAAGGAAGAUAAUGACGGUACUUGAGGAGGAAGCCCCGGCUAACUACGUGCCAGCAGCCGCGGUAAUACGUAGGGGGCUAGCGUUAUCCGGAUUUACUGGGCGUAAAGGGUGCGUAGGUGGUUUCUUAAGUCAGGAGUGAAAGGCUACGGCUCAACCGUAGUAAGCUCUUGAAACUGGGAAACUUGAGUGCAGGAGAGGAAAGUGGAAUUCCUAGUGUAGCGGUGAAAUGCGUAGAUAUUAGGAGGAACACCAGUAGCGAAGGCGGCUUUCUGGACUGUAACUGACACUGGGGCACGAAAGCGUGGGGAGCAAACAGGAUUAGAUACCCUGGUAGUCCACGCCGUAAACGAUGAGUACUAGGUGUCGGGGGUUACCCCCCUCGGUGCCGCAGCUAACGCAUUAAGUACUCCGCCUGGGGAGUACGCUCGCAAGAGUGAAACUCAAAGGAAUUGACGG